CAUGGAGAGCCAAAUUGGUAUUUGUUGUGAGACCAAAAUUAGUUUGGGAUAAAAUGUGUCAUGGGGUACCACUUUGAGAUAUCUUGUGAGAUCAAAAUUAGUUUGGGAUAAAUGUGUUAUGGGAAUGCAACUUUGAGAUUGUUAAUGAUAUUGAUAAUUUUUUAAAUGAUCAUAACCAACAAUUGCAGUCCACCAAAUAUACCUAUUUUUUUAAGGAAGUGUCAGUUUAUAUUAUCUAAACUUUAAUAUUCCUUUUUUCUGUUUUGCCCAAAUAUGAAAUUUAUGUCAAGUGGAACCUUUGUUUCUUAACGAAGAAUUAAAGCAUGUGAAUGAUAGUGUUAUGGAUGAGAUAGCCUGCCCUUGAAGGAUUUGUCACUGGCCUGUUGUUUGUGAUUUAACCCAUUAUCCAUCACAAUUUCGAAGACUUUUGUCUUAUUAUGCAAUUUUUUUUUAGCCAUGUCACUUCGGUUUCAAUUUGAGCAACCUUUUUGCAACGUUAAUAUCUCUGUCCA